rnacentral:lncRNA from 1 species
UUCUAUCAUAAAAAGGGGUGGGGGAGAGUAGAUCAGGCAGACACAAUCACUGAAGGAGGAGAGUACAGGAGAUUUAGAGGAAGAAGAUCUGUGAAGAGGUUUGGGAGGAGUUAAGAAGGGAAAGCAAUCAGUCAUUUUUCCAAAGGCCAGUCUGCAGGGCUGGGACUGAGCACAGGCUGAAAUCAAGGUUGGACUACCUCUCAGCCCUUCUCAAGCCCUCCAGGCCUAGCAGUCUCCAUCUGAUCCUGUAUUGGAAAUGGGCAUGGAAGAUGCCACAACUUCUCAAGCUUUCCCUAGGAAAAGGGGUGGGUGAACUUCUGGCCUGAAGAAUCUGAGGAUGGAAGGUCAACUUUGCUCUUCUCCUGGGUUCUGGAACCAGACCUUCCUAACCUGCUCUGCUCACCUGGAGCCCCAGCCCACUGUCACCCAUGCCCUCAUCUCCAGACUCUUCUUCCAGCAAGUAAGAGUCACAGCAGCUAGGCUUGCAAAGCAGGGAUGGUGGCUUGGAGCACCAGCUUCCGUGUCAAGCAGGGCAGGCUGCACUCCCAGCGCCCUGGUGCCUCUGGCUCUCGAGGCUUGUUCCUCAUCUCUAGCUCCCUCACAGAGUUGUCC